CAGCAGCCGCGGUAAUACGAAGGGUGCAAGCGUUAAUCGGAAUUACUGGGCGUAAAGCGUGCGCAGGCGGUUGUGUAAGACAGGUGUGAAAUCCCCGGGCUUAACCUGGGAACUGCGCUUGUGACUGCACAGCUAGAGUAUGGCAGAGGGGGGUGGAAUUCCACGUGUAGCAGUGAAAUGCGAAGAGAUGUGGAGGAACACCGAUGGCGAAGGCAGCCCCCUGGGCCAAUACUGACGCUCAUGCACGAAGGCGUGGGGAGCAAACAGGAUUAGAUACCCCCGUAGUCCCUGUCUCUUAUAC
rnacentral:rRNA from 1 species